UACAGAGGGUGCAAGCGUUAAUCGGAAUUACUGGGCGUAAAGCGUGCGUAGACGGUUAUGUAAGUCGGGUGUGAAAGCCCCGGGCUCAACCUGGGAAUGCCAUUCGAGACUGCAUAGCUAGGGUGCGGAAGAGGGAAGCGGAAUUUCCGGUAUAGCGGUGAAAUGCGUAGAUAUCGGAAGGAACACCAGUGGCGAAAGCGGCUUCCUGGUCCAGCACCGACGUUCAGGCACGAAAGCGUGGGGAGCAAACAGG
rnacentral:rRNA from 1 species